rnacentral:lncRNA from 1 species
CCGCCUGAGCGGCGCCGCGAGGACAAGGCGGCCGGGCGGCGUGAAUGGGCGGCGUCACGCGCCUGGCGCCAGAGAGUCUGCUCCCGGGCUCCGGCCCCGGCCCCGCCGCGGCCCGGCCCGCGCGCCGCUGCCGCCGCCGCCGCGCAUUCAUCACCUGUCAGGGCUCGCUCGGGGGGUCACGGGCGGGAUGGACACAGCUGGGAGAACAAAACCGGGGGGAAGAGAGGCGAGCGCUCCCCAGCGCGCCAGAUGUGCCGGGAGGACCUUGAGACACCCCCUCCUCCGCACCCCACCUCCGCCUUCCCGCAGGCUCCUCCCGCCCCCAGUUGCAUCACGCGGGGCGGGGGAUGGGGGUUGGAAUUGCAAAGGCCGUCCGGCCAGCCUGGCGCGCCCGGCCCGGAGCUGCUUCUCAUUACCGCGAGGGGCCAGUCGCGCUGGGAGCCGGCGGCGGCCGGGCCGGGGUGGAGACCGAGGGAGUGAAGCCCUGGAACCAGCCCUUCCCAGUGCUAGAGAAGGAACCCAGGAAGGGUCCCGCACGUCUCGGAGCUCCUUAGCGAUCAGCACGGUUAUCCACUGGGCUGGCGCCCGUUCCGCCCACCCCCACGGCGAUUGGCUGCGAACGCGGAAGGACGGAGCUCUCCCCUCGCGCCCGCGCCUGCCAAUGGGCGCGCCCGCCCGGCCUGAUGGACGCACCGCCUUCCACCAAUGA